rnacentral:rRNA from 1 species
CUUGACCCAAAUUACGUGCCAGCAGCGCGGUAAUACGUAGAAGACUAGCGUUAUUCAUGUNNAAUCUUUAAAGGGUACCUAGGCGGUAAAUGCCUAAAAUAAAGGACUAAUUUACUAGAGUUACUUAUGAGGGGGUAUUAAAGUACUGCUGGUGUAGAGAUGAAAUUCUGUCAUACCUCUUUUCAAAAGAAAAAHAACGGCACAGGUAUAGGCGAAAGCAUCCCCUUAUGUGAUAACUGACGUUGAGGGACGAAGGCUUUGUGUAGCGAACAGGAUUAGAUACCCCCGUAGUCAAAGCAGAAAAUGAUGAAUGUCAUAGAUUAGAUAAAUAAGUUUAUUCUAUAAAUGAAAGUGUAAGCAUUCCACCUCMAGAGUAAUUUGGCAACAUUGGAACUGAAAUCAUUAGACCGUUUCUGAAACCAGUAGUGAAGUAUGUUGUUUAAUUUGAUGAUCCGCAAAAAACCUUACCACAAUUUGAAUAUUUAUAUCUUUUAUUGUUUUUUUUUUAUUUUUCUUCUGAUUUUCAUUGUAUGAUUUUCUUCUUAUUCUAUAUGCAUGCACAUGCACAUGCAAAAGAAUAAGAAAAAAAAACAAUUGAUCAUUAUAUCAUAAUAAAAAGAGGCGAUGUGAUAUAUUUACAAGCGUUGCACGGCCGUCUUCAGUUAAUGUCGCGAGACUUUGGUUAGUUCC